GAAAUCAGGGUCAGUAAAAUCUUGACGUCUUCCACCUAGGGUUUUCCAAACACUCCACAAUCUAUCAAUAUUAGAAUGAUGAGCAUAGAAAAUAGGGUCUCUAGCAGCUGAAUAAAAAUCUCCCAUGUUUUCAAAAUUCGGUUGGGUUCUAUCACCGGUCCAAACAUGGACCGGUCCAUGAGGAAUGUUCUCGAGGGACCCACCUCCACCGGGCUGACCACCGGCCCGGUAAGGGUCUCCGAGAAAAGUCGCCGGAGUACUUCCAAGAGAAACCAUUUGCCUAUACAUGGUAGUGAGAUUCUGGGAAGUUUGUUGAGCGUUACUUAUGUUAGGAUCCGUUCCAUUGAAGUCGAGAUCGACCAUGACCGGAGGCUGAUGCCUCCGAUCACGGAGAGGAUCGUAGAGAGAAGAACUACGGUUCGCAUACAUGGCAGGAACUCUCAUCCCAUCAGGAUGAUCCCAGUUCCAAAAUGGGAUAGCGAAGUUAGGGUCAUUAAUUAAACUACCCAAGAUUUUUUCGAAGAAGUAGAGGUAACAACGAUGGAAAGGGUGGAAAAGCCAGGAGAAAUGAACUUGGAGUUCAGAGUUUGGGAAACCUAGUUGGUCAUAAGCACCAUCACAGUAAGCACAAUGAACAUUUGCUUGGUUCUUGAAGCUACGUGGAUCGUCGUCUGGAAGUUGUUUCAUGAGCUGAAUAGCUCUGUUGAAUUUCUCUAUAUAGGCAUUAUCAGCGGUAUGAGCUGCAGGCCGAGUACGGAGGGUGGUUGACGGUGGUGGAAGUUGGAAGUCUAUGAUAUUCCCCGUUGUCGGAGGACAACAGUUGACUGGUGCUGCUCCUGUAAGAAAAAAAAAGAACAUAGCCAAAUUUGAGAAAAAAGGCUUUGAAGCAUAAAAACAACUCCAUAUUAUUUGGAAAAAUAUAGACAAGUUUUAUCAGAAUACAAUAAAGGUACAAUAUAUUACGCCUACAAAUUAACUUAACCAUUUCUCACAGUUGGCCUGGAUUAUAUUUAUCAGUUUAAUGUAUCAAGAUUUUUUUAUAUAUAAAGUUUUCAAGCUGACCAUUUUUGUGUUUCAACGUAAGACAAGAAUUACUUCAUAUAUAUUACAGACUAUGUAACAGUACCUGGUGGCAAAUCUGCAGCGCCACAUUUGGAAACGUCAGGUCCGGGCACAGGAGCCGCGAAGGCAAAGGGAUGACCACCAACAAGAGUAGCAGCACCAUAAAUGCCUCCUAAUCCAAGUAGCAUGUUUCUUCUAUCAAUGAUCUUAUUGUUUGAAGAAUCAGAAGAUUUGGAAGUGUUGAUGGUUUGGUCAUCUUCUGUACCCUUGCAUGAAACUUGGAAACGAUAGUUACUGCACUUUCCUAUAGUGAAAACUUUUGAUGUCUUUGUAAAGAAAGGAGAAGAAUGCAAAUUGGAAAGAGGUGUGGUGGUUAAAGAAGAAGAUGAAGAAGAGAUGACAUUGGUGGUGAGAGGGGGAAGAGAAGCCAUUACUAUAAUUUUUGCUUUGUUUGAGGUGUAGUUCAUGAACAUCUAGGAUUAGCAUUUAUAUAGAAUAUGGAGCAAAGACUUUCCCCUAUAAACUUAUGGUGAAAAAGAAAAAUAAUACUAACCAAAAAGAAAUACAUGUCAGGAAGAUGCUUGCAUAUCUUAACUUCCAGCAGCACGUGAUUUUCUUCGUAUUUAUUUGUUUGUUUAAUUCGUAAUUUGAAAUCAUUAAUACAAAAAUCCACGUUCGUCUGAGGUGUUGUAAGACCUUUUUAUUUAUUUAUUUACAAGAAUGUAAGAACUUGAGUGAUCACUGCACAGCAUAAUACAGAAAUGGAAUUGUCCUUCUAGAUAUAGCUGGUUGGUUUAGAUUUUAGAAUUAAGAAAUUAAUGAUUUUUUCAAAUAUUGUGUCUGCCGUGUCAAAAUUUAAUUAGUUUAGACUUAUUUUUUUUAUUUACAAUUAAGAGCAAGUUCCGAUGCAAUCUCAAAACAGGAAGCAGCUUAUGAAGCUUCAACGCCUUCAAUUAUUCAACAAUUCAACAUGUAGAUAGAUAAUGGUGUUAACCAAUAUUAUAUUGUAAAUAUUUCGGGUUAGUGAGAGUCUUGAAGGGAGCACAUUUUUGACAUAGAAGGGAGCACAUUUUUAGGACAUUUUAGGAGAGGACAUUUUUAGGAGGGAUAGUUUUUAGAGAGGAUUAUUUUUGGAGAGAGGAAGACAUUCUGAAAAUCCUAAGAGAGUGUUGGAGAGUUUAAAAAGAAAAAACAAAAAUAAAGUGAGAGACGAGUUUAGUUUCGGGUUUAAUACACGCGUGAUUGAGUCUGUUUGUGAUGACGUGGGUUGUUGCUGUUUAGUAAUUCAAAUAAACAGGGGAAAAUAUUGCUCAUAAUUAACAAGUAGAUCAGUUUUACAAGUGCGUAUUAUUUUAUUUAUCCAGUUAGGCAAAGAAUCAAGACGUGCAGCCUUGUAUAACAUCAACCGACCAUUCAGUAUAAUGUCGAAAGAGUAGAAUAAGUGGAAAUUAAAAUAAUCUUGCUAAUUUUUUAAAUGCAGGUUAGAGGAUGCUAAAACCCUACAACGAGAGUGCUCGCAUAGCAAAAAGACCAUUGAGGUAGGGAAAAUUUUAUUUUGUCUGUCAUGCAACUAACAUUAGUUGUAUGAGGCAAUUUUUUUGUUUCACAAUUUUGUGGACCCAGAUUUCUGUGAACCCAGAAAUGUAAGAUUGAGGUCCACAAAUUUGUGAGAUAAAAAGGAGCCUCAUACAACUAGUAUAAGUUGUAUAAGACACAAAAUAAAACUUCUCGGAAGGUAGUACUGGUUUGCCCAUUCGGAUUUGUAAAUGCUGAACUUCAAUAUUUAAAAUGGUAGUGAACUCUUAAAAAACUUGUUAAAUAAGUUAAGCAAAUAAGUGCUCGUUUGGAUGAGUUUUUUAAAAUGAUUUUAAGCAAAUAAGUUAAGAAUUCUAGCUUUUGGCUUUUGGCUUGUUUUUGUCAUUUUAGCUUAAAAAUACGUGCUUAAAAGCACUUUUGUUACUUUAUCCAAAUACUACAAAAUGACUUAAAAGCUAUUUUGGCUUAAAAGCACUUAGUGGACGUUUGAACAUAAGAAUUGUAAAAUUCCAAAAAAAAAAAAUAAAAAAAAAUUCAAGUGAAAAUGAUAUUUGAAAUUUAGAGUUGUAUUUGGACAUGAAUAUCAUUUUGGAUUAUUUUUGAAGUUUUGUGAGUGAUCUGAGUGAAAAUUUUGAAAAACAAUUUUUUGGAGUUUUUCAAAUUUUCGAAAAAUUCCAAAAUACAUCUUAUGAAUAAACGAUGGUAACCUAUUUCCUGGAGGUGCGUGUUGGACUAACAUGGCCACCAAUCGACGACCUCACACUAGGAAAUAAUGUAAAAUUGGAAAUUGCCCUACUUAAUUAGUUUGAAAAACUACUAGUUGUAGUUAUAAUACAUGUAGAAGAAAAUGAUAAAAUAUCCAUGUAAGUAGUUUUCUUCCUUUAUUCCAUUCAAACACGCUUACAAUAUCAAGAAACUUAAAAUGCUUAAUUCAUUGAGGAAAUUGAUUAAAACCCUUUUAUUUUUCUAGUCAUAAUCAAUUCUCAAAGAUAGCGGGAAUACAGAAAUAUAAAAUAAGGUUGCGUAUAAUAGACUCUUGCGGUCUGAUCCUUUCCCGAAUCCCGUGUAUAGCGGGAGCUUAGUGCACUAGGUGUCAAUCAAUCCUCAAGCACAAUCUUGACACCUCCAAUUUUUACAGCACCAGAACCAUUCUUUGGAACAAAAGUCACCACCACAUGAUCAUCAUCCUCAGCAUCUAAAUCUUCCAACAGCUCAGUUAUAGCCAACUUCAACUUAGUUUUACGUUUCUUGUCACUCUUACCAUGACUAUGAUGUGGCACGUUAACAAAACUACCUGCAAACUCAGCAUUAUUCGGCGAAAUUACAGUCUCAUCUUCAUCAUUAAUCAACACAUCAAACUUGACAAAAACAUCAGUUUCCAGCUCUAUCCCUUCAACUACUAAAAACUCCUCUUUUGCAUCUUUCUCCUUCUUGUUUCUCUUCUUAAUUGGCCUCUUUACCAUAACUCUUAUCACAUGGUCAAGUUUCGUUGGGAAAACAUCUUUUGCACUUGGAAAAUUAUCAGCUGCUCUUGCUUCAACAAGCCUCCUUACACUACUCAAAGCACUUGAAACCCUAGCCCUUGGACGAGAAUUUAUCCACGGAUUAGCUACACCUUGAUAAACGUAUCCAAGUCUUGUUGUAUCCAAACAGUCACGUACCCUAAUACGUACCAUUUGUGCUUUCUCAUCAUAAAACAAAAACGAAGCAUUUAAGAAAUCAGGGUCAGUAAAAUCUUGACGUCUUCCACCUAGGGUUUUCCAAACACUCCACAAUCUAUCAAUAUUAGAAUGAUGAGCAUAGAAAAUAGGGUCUCUAGCAGCUGAAUAAAAAUCUCCCAUGUUCUCAAAAUUAGGUUGGGUUCUAUCACCGGUCCAAACAUGGACCGGUCCAUGUGGAAUGUUCUCGAGGGACCCAGCACCACCCGGUUCGCCACCGGCACGGUAAGGGUCUCCGAGGAAAGUCGCUGGAGUACUUCCUAGUGAAACCAUUUGCCUAUACAUG
rnacentral:lncRNA from 1 species